AGCAGCCGCGGUAAUUCCAGCUCCAAUAGCGUAUAUUAAAGUUGUUGCAGUUAAAAAGCUCGUAGUUGAAUUUCGGGGUCAAUAAGUUGGUCGUGCCAAUGGUAUGUACUGGCUUUAUUGAUUCCUACCUCUUGACGAACUGUGAUGCCAUUAAUUUGGUGUUGCAGGAAAUCAGGACUGUUACCUUGAAAAAAUUAGAGUGUUUAAAGCAGGCUUACGCUUGAAUACAUUAGCAUGGAAUAAUGAAAUAGGACGUUUGAACCUAUUUUGUUGGUUUCUAGGAUCGACGUAAUGAUUAAUAGGGAUAGGUUGGGGGCAUUAGUAUUCAAUUGUCAGAGGUGAAAUUCUUGGAUUUAUUGAAGACUAACUACUGCGAAAGCAUUUGCCAAGGAUGUUU
rnacentral:rRNA from 1 species